rnacentral:rRNA from 1 species
AGUGAACGCUGGCGGCAGGCCUAACACAUGCAAGUCGAACGAGUGGCGGACGGGUGAGGAAUACCUCGGACUCUACUCUGUCGUGGGGGAUAACGUAUGGAAACUUACGCUAAUACCGCAUACGAUUGAAUGAGCCGAUGUCGGAUUAGCUAGUUGGUGGGGUAAGGGCCCACCUCGGCGACGAUCCGUAGCUGGUCUGAGAGGAUGACGAGCCACACUGGAAUUGAGACACGGUCCAGACUCCUACGGGAGGCAGAAGUGGGGAAUAUUGGACAAUGGGCGCAAUCCUGAGCCAGCCAUGCAGCGUGGGUGAAGAAGGCCUUCGGGUUGUAAAGCCCGUUUGUGGGGAAAGCGGUACCCAAAGAAUAAGCACCGGCUAACUUCGUGCCAGCAGCCGCGGUAAUAC